CUUCCGUAGGUGAACCUGCGGAAGGAUCAUUACCGAGUGUAGGGUUCCUAGCGAGCCCAACCUCCCACCCGUGUUUACUGUACCUUAGUUGCUUCGGCGGGCCCGCCAUUCAUGGCCGCCGGGGGCUCUCAGCCCCGGGCCCGCGCCCGCCGGAGACACCACGAACUCUGUCUGAUCUAGUGAAGUCUGAGUUGAUUGUAUCGCAAUCAGUUAAAACUUUCAACAAUGGAUCUCUUGGUUCCGGCAUCGAUGAAGAACGCAGCGAAAUGCGAUAACUAGUGUGAAUUGCAGAAUUCCGUGAAUCAUCGAGUCUUUGAACGCACAUUGCGCCCCCUGGUAUUCCGGGGGGCAUGCCUGUCCGAGCGUCAUUGCUGCCCAUCAAGCACGGCUUGUGUGUUGGGUCGUCGUCCCCUCUCCGGGGGGGACGGGCCCCAAAGGCAGCGGCGGCACCGCGUCCGAUCCUCGAGCGUAUGGGGCUUUGUCACCCGCUCUGUAGGCCCGGCCGGCGCUUGCCGAACGCAAAUCAAUCUUUUUCCAGGUUGACCUCGGAUCAGGUAGGGAUACCCGCUGAACUUAAGCAUAUCAAUAAGGCGGAGGA
rnacentral:rRNA from 1 species